GAUGAACGCUGGCGGCAUGCCUAAUACAUGCAAGUCGAACGAGAGGAAGGAAAGCUUGCUCUUCUGAAUCUAGUGGCGAACGGGUGAGUAACACGUAGGUAACCUGCCCAUGUGCCCGGGAUAACUUCUGGACACGGAUGCUAAAACCGGAUAGGUAGCAGACAAGCAUUUGACUGCUAUUAAAGUGGCUAAGGCCAUGAACAUGGAUGGACCUGCGGUGCAUUAGCUAGUUGGUGAGGUAACGGCCCACCAAGGCGACGAUGCAUAGCCGGCCUGAGAGGGCGGACGGCCACAUUGGGACUGAGACACGGCCCAAACUCCUACGGGAGGCAGCAGUAGGGAAUUUUCGUCCAUGGGGGGAACCCUGAACGAGCAAUGCCGCGUGAGUGAGGAAGGUCUUCGGAUCGUAAAGCUCUGUUGUAAGAGAAAAACGACAUUCAUAGGGAAUGAUGAGUGAGUGAUGGUAUCUUACCAGAAAGUCACGGCUAACUACGUGCCAGCCGCCGCGGUAAUAC
rnacentral:rRNA from 1 species